rnacentral:rRNA from 1 species
AACGUAGGAGACAAACGUUAUCCGGAGUUACUGGGCGUAAAGGGCGUGUAGGUGGUUUCGUAAGUCUGGCGUGAAAUUUUUCGGCUUAACCGGGAAAGGUCGUCGGAUACUGCGGAACUAGAGGACGGUAGAGGCGUGUGGAAUUCCGGGUGUAGUGGUGAAAUGCGUAGAGAUCCGGAAGAACACCAGUGGCGAAGGCGGCCCGCUGGGCAGUGGCUGACGCUGAGGCGCGACAGCGUGGGGAGCAAACAGG